AGAAGUUGAAAUCCACCUCAGAGGCAGCCAAAAGUGAGUGAAGUCGAUGGAGCUGCUGCCAAAAAAGAGGCCUGCGACUGAAGCCAGCAUGGGUGAGUUAAUCUAAGCCUGGAUUCAUGGCAGCGGAGACGGCCCGUGGGCUGGGACAUCCACGCUGCUGCUGUGCAGAGGAAGUCCGGGACACAGAGAAUGCAGCUGGGAACUGACGCGAGCAACCCUGCCAAGGAGCAAGCUAAACCACGGGCUAUACAGCUACAGGAAAGCAGAUAAUGAGUGGAACUGGGGGGAAUCUAUAAAAGGAAAAAAAAAAAAUCCCCAAAUUGGGAACCAGUGAAACCUAAUUGUGAGUAAUUUUCAUAUGUCUAUACUGAAAAACAGGUCCUGAUGACUCUGUGUGCAACCCUUUCUGUUUGAAGCCAUUUCUAUUCAGUCUGCACUAUUAACACAGGCUAUGUCACUGAAUGGCCAUGAAUAUAUUACAAGGACUCUAGCUAAUAACUACACACCUACCACUUUUAGAACCAGGCCAUGGCAGUUUUGCAAUAGCUCUGGCAUUUACCUAAUAAACCCCAACUCACUGUCUACUUUGGUAAAUAAUAUGCAGCCUCUCUUGUAAACCACGCGUGUGGUACAUUAAAUACUGCUCUGCAUUUAACAACCUGCUACUUUCCUGUCCUACUCUCUCGUAAGCCUAAUAGGAGCUGUGGUAUUAAUUUAGCCUGGGUGGAACUGUAGGCUGGACUUGUUGUUCCAGCAAGGUAAUUGCUUCACUAUGUAAAGGACUUCUGCUUUUCAUUUACAAUGCGCAUAGGAAGUCAUCUGUAAUUUCAAUAUCCUCCCCAGUGUAGCUGAAGCAAUUCUUAUGCUGUGAAU